rnacentral:rRNA from 1 species
UACGUAGGGGGCGAGCGUUGUCCGGAUUUAUUGGGCGUAAAGAGCGUGUAGGCGGCCAGGUAGGUCUGCUGUGAAAACUCGAGGCUCAACCUCGAGACGUCGGCGGAAACCAUCUGGCUAGAGUCCGGAAGAGGAGAGUGGAAUUCCUGGUGUAGCGGUGAAAUGCGCAGAUAUCAAGAGGAACACCUGCGGCGAAGGCGGGUUGCUGGGCCGACACUGACGCUGAUGCGCGAAAGCCAGGGGAGCGAACGGG